UGGGGGUCCUGCCACAGGGAACCAACCAGCCACACCUGGAGCACAGGGUCUCCAAGAACAAGGGCUUCACAAUGGCCAUGGUGACUUGUAUGCCACAGUCAUCCCAGAUUGGACAGGGCAUGACCGUAAGCAGUACAGCAUGAUCCAAAAUAGGCCCUGGUGUUCCUAAUGCCAGAUAGUCUCUCCUGUUGGUCACAAUUCCUAAUCUCUGAAAGUGCCUCUAAGAUUGACGAGUGAUACCAACAAGUUAUUCAUCUGACGCAGCUCUAAAAACUCAAGCAGCCAUGGAUGGUAAACAGUAGCUUCCCUCAUACAAGAAAGGGGCUGCACCUUGCUUUUUUGCAGCAGCUUCCCAUCUAUAGUUCAGAAAAGAGGUCUUUGAAAAAACAAUGGCUCUGCAUGUGUCUGGCUGUCCACCUGUCGGCUGUGUUGGGGCAAGGGAGUAGACAAGGUGGUUCACCAGCUGGAGGAAAGGUGACAGGACAGAGGCCUAGGUUUGCAGUCACUCCUCUCCCGCUCUAGCAUGGCACCAGGAACAAAGCCUCCAUGCUCCAGUCUCCUCUUCCAAAUUACACAUCCAGAGUGUCUUCAAUGAACUUGGCUUCCAGAGUGUUCAUGAACCAGAUCAGGAGAGAAUAGACAUCUAUGAACAAAUCCAAAAGAGAACAGACUCUCAGAAGGUUGGGAUUCUAGUUUGGCAGCUGAAAUAGCCGGAAGAGUGAGAUAUCCAAAUAUCUUGGAGCUGUCAACGAGCUGCAUUGGCACCAGAGGAGCAAAAGCCAGCGCCGCGCAGGCUCACCGGCACCAUAAGCGACUGCGCCCGCUCCUGAGGCGGCAGCACUUACUGUACAGGAAAGCAAGUCACAAAUACGCAUCCUCAAGGCCAAAACUCUGCUUUGCAUAUUUUCACAGAAUAACUGGUUUUGCUUUUUUUUUUUUUUUUUUUUUUUUUUUUUUUUUUUUUUUUUUUUUUUUUUUGGUAAAGAGCUAAUGGGGGCAGAAAGGCAGAAACUGGAUAAAUAUUCUUCUCUCGCCUCCACCAACAGAAGUGAUAUCUGAGUGAUUCUGAUCCUGUGUAGGAGUCAGAGAGGGCAGGAGCCGCAUCAGAAAGGCUGGCGGCAUUGUUCACCGAGUCAAUCUCAAGUGCCUGACGGUCAGCAGACCGGCUCAAAGAAACCCUCGCAAUGACAGGCACAGAGAGCAAAGGGCACACAAGAUUCCCUCUGACAAUCGUCUCAAGCAAAUGAACAUCCACUCAAAUGAUGCACCCAAAGGCCGUACAGAGAAUAAAGGAGCAUUCCUGUGUGUUGACCACAACACCCGGCACACAACGUCACGUGAAAUCUUGGACCUAACGAUCACACCAGAAACAGAUUCAAAACAUUUUCACCAUUCCAAACAAAGGACAGUAUAGGAAAGAAACCGUCAUUUUCCCUUCCACUCCCACAGACCAAAAUGCACCUCAUAAAAAUUAUCUUCAUUUCUUAGAUAAGGAGUCGCCGAAACAAUCCCUUCACAAGCCUCUCACUGGUACACCCUGGUACUGAAUGAGAGAGGAGAGGACUCUCAUCUUCUGACCCAGGGAAGCGUGCUGUCUGGUAAGCUUUGAGUCUUUAGAGCUGUUAGUGAUGUCACCAUUAAAAAUCAACUAGGAAAAUGAACACAAUAAAAGAUGGUAAGAAAACAAAGGGCCAAUAGCCAUCUCUGAAUUAAAACUAGCUAAAUGUAAUUAAAGGAGCAGCUACGUUCAUGUCUUCACAGGAGAAGAGAGAACUAGCAAACGUGAAUGCAAGUAUCAACGAUGGGAAACACAGUUCUAGGGCUAUCACCAACAAGGAACAAUCAACACCACAGCGGAUUCUAAUUUGGGCUGAAUAAAACCUAAACCAAAACAAUCAAGGGCAGAUGGUACUUCUUUCAAAAUAAUGAAAAGACAAUAAUCUCCUCCCUUUUUGCUAAUCCGUUGACCUUAAUACCAAUUCUGUUCUUAAUCACCUGGCGACAUGAGUGCAGCUGUAUGCACUUUAUCUCAUCAUGAGACUACCCUCAAUAACUAUAACUUUUUUUCAUUAUUUCACUCAUUGUGACAUCAUUUUAAGUUAAUAUAAUUGUUUCAAAUCAUUACAGGAAAACAAAUUGACAAUAGCCUAAAGGAGAAUUCCUAUCAGAAACAAAAACCAUAUACCGAAAAUAUUUUUCAAAAACAAAAACACCAAAGCUCAUUGUAGAAAGAGUAACAUCCUGUUUUAUGUUUAGUGUUGGCAUUAGUCAUAAGGAUCUGGGGAACAGGAAUAAAUUCUUAACAAUUAACUAUAGAAAUCCCAAACACCUUGCUGGUGGAGUCACUCUUCUCUACCUGGUAAACUCCUACAGAUCCUACAAGAUCCAGCUCAUUUGCCCCUCUGUGAGGCCUUCAUUAACUCCUUCCCAUUAACUCAAGAACAUUCAAUUCACUCCCUCUUCUAGUUCUCUCAUUAGUUCCACCCAUAAACAUUUACUAAAAUCUAUGUGUCAAGCACAGUGUCUACAACUCUGCAGUACACAGAGGAAUGAUACGUGCUUCAUGCCCAGGAAGGACUCACUAGUUAGAAGUGGCAGGCAUGUAUGCAAGGUUAUUGUUACACAGUGGACUAGUGCUCUAAUGGAGAUAUGCUAUGCAGAGAAAUAGUCAUAUCAUCCCUCAAGUACCCCAUGAGGCUGUGAUUCAUUCAAUCUUUUCCAUCUCCUCCAGUAUGCUACUGACCUCUGAAGACAGGAACUGUGCUCUAGUUAGCUCCAGCUUCCACUGCCUAGUGAAUGCAGAACACACCAUAAACAUGCAAUAUAUGUUUGUUAAUGCAUUAAAAAGACAAAAACUACUAGUGCUUUAUAAUUGGGUCUUACAGCUCCAAACAAAAGGUAUU
rnacentral:lncRNA from 1 species